ensembl:lncRNA
CCGAGGAGCGACGGCCGUCGGAGUGGGAUACAAAAGCAACGCCUGCUUGCGCGGGGGGGUCUCACGCGUGUGCGUGCUCCCAUGGCUCCUCUCCCUUUAGCCUCUUGCACACGUGGGGAGCCGGCGGAGCUCUCCAGGGACGCGCGGCUCUCGCAUCUGCUGCAAAGCUCUGCGAUAUCGCCGCCGCUCCCCUGCAGGAAUGUCACCGGCGGGGGCCGCGCGGAGCCCCCAAGAUCCCUCCUCGCCGAGGGCAACCCCCCGCUGACUCGACUCCGGGGAAGGCAGAGAGCCCCUUCCGAAGGGCUAUCGGGUGGCAGAGGGACGCCUUUGGGAGCGCGGCCAGGACGUGUCAACACGUCGAAGCGUUUCCUCGCUGCCCCCGCUGCCUUUCUGCCGUGCGCUCCCUCCCUCCCGGCUCGGGACGGGAACACCGGAGCCCUUCGCACCGGGCUGCCGCCGCUCGGAGCCGUGCCCCCGUGCGCCGGGCAGGGAAACCGAGACCUGGGUCUAGGAGAGCGACAUUCGGGACUAGGAAAACGAGUUUUGGGGCUGGCGGAGCAAAUCGCACCCACUUACAACGACCUAAUUUCUCAUUCAUCCAAACUUCCUUCUUUAUCGUUUAUUGUAUUUGUGUUUAAUCGCUGUAAUCCCCGUGUCCUCUCGCCCGCCCUGGUGCGCGCUCCCGCGCCCAACGCGGGACAGCGACGCGCACCCGAGCGGUGCUGCCGCGCUUUAUGGAGCGGUUAAUCAACUGCGCAUCAGCGAGACAGCGCAUCAGCCCAUCUGCUUGAUAUAUAUUCAGGAGGGCUCCAGCCCUUUUGAAGUCUAAUUUCUUCCCCGGGAGAACGCGCCGGGUAAUUUACCAUCAUUUCAUACGCAUCGCGGCCACCGAGUUAACCCUUUCCCCAAGCGCUGCCCGCACGGGAUUUUCCUCCCGAAAAACGCCGGGUGCAACGCUACAAACUUGUCAAAGCGUCUUUCCGAUGAUGCUCCUUGAAAUAAGAGAUCGCAGCUCACCGACACUGUAACCCCUUGGAUCUGUCGGGUUAGAAAGGAGGGGUUGUGAAAGAUCUGCUUGGGAUAAGCAAACGCUUAGAACCGCCCAUGCCAACGCGCAUCAUUUCAUCCCCAACCACCUACUGCUGGCUUUGUUUUUAAGAUCUUUGGGAUUUUGUUUUUAUUUUUUAUUUCUUUAUUUCUUUAUUUUCGCAGGACCCAGCCCCAUAGCGGCAGUGCGAGCAGUCACUCCUUCUCUGUUACCUGCAAUAAAUGCCAUCUCCUGCAGCAGUUUUUUUCCUCCGAAGUCUGCUUUUAAAAGGAGGGACACGGGAGGGCUUGUGUUUGUCCGUGCCACACAAAUGCUGCCUUGGGAAAAGGCUCAGUGCAUGGGGUUAGGCUGACCCAGGGGCAAGGACAAAGCUGGCACUCCGGGAACCAGGGAUCCCUGUUAGGUGUGGACACCAGGCUCUUCUGUGCUGCUUUUUGAAAAGGCAGAGGAAAGUGGGCCAAAUGCUUCCAUACAAUUGCAUUUCUUUGGAUUUAAGGUCCCUUCCAACAUAAGCCAUUCCAUGAUGUCAGUUCCUGUGAUAGAAGCUUCUCUUUUAUUAUUUGUUUCUUAUCCACCUGCAUGCUCCUUUUUGUUUCUCCCUCUAUUUUCCUCUGGCUGGUACUUAUGCUGAACUAAGUCCCACUGUUAAGGAUGGUCCAUCAAAAUGCUGGCUCUGGGCUGACAGCUGGGAUGACUUGUUGGAUCACUUCCACACCUAUGUGCUUAACCCUACGGCAGUCGUACAGCUGGGAGCUUGCCCAAACCGUUGGCCAGCAUCCCUUGUUGGGACUGCUGCCUCCAGUUCUUAGACUGGCUGCUUCUCCCUGUGUCCUGUUUGUGGCAAAAGACAUAGGACCUACCAGGGUUAGGUGACCUUCGGUAUCAGGGCAAGAGCACAGGUUGUGUGUCAUCUUACGCUUCUUGCACCAUGUACUUCUUCUCCAGUCCCUUCAGAAGUAUUCCCAGCGAGGAGACUGUGUUCAACGCUAGGGAUGCUGCUUUCCUCCAUUAUAGAGAUGGUUCACCUGGGCUAUGCCUCCUUCUGGGGCUCUGCUUCCUCCUGCCCUGGGAAGCAGGAUGUAGAGCAGAUGCCUUACUCCAGCUUUAGUUUGUUUUUUGGAGUGGAUUGAGAGGGAGGGUAGAGCAGAGAUUUCUGUUAAAGGGCACAGCUGAGGAAGCCUUGGGAAGGAUGGCAGCUGCAGGCAGCUUCAGCAGGCAAGUCAUUCUCCCCACCUGUAGCUUGUUCCAUCCUCAGAGUUCAUUCAGGUCACUUAGAGGUGAGAAAGCUUGAAAUAGGAUGCACACACAGCUCCCUUUGGAUCUUCCUCCAUGAUGUGGGUGUUAUCUGGAUGUUGCUUUUUGGAGAGAAGGAAAGAUGCAUUCUGAUGUGCAGAGAUACCUACAGGCCUUGAUCAUGCUUCAGAUUAUCCCUGGAUUGCUGCAUCUUUAGCAGCUGAAGCCAGUGGGGCCUACAUCUCUGUGCCAUGGAGCUUGCUCUUCCAGCAACCAGCCCUGUGAAACUAACACAGCACAGGAUUACGGAGCUGAGCAAGUGAGGAAGGAGUCAGAGCAUUGGACUCUCCAUUUACCACCACCACAAAGAUGAUAAAACACUUCUCCACUUGGAGCCACUGUGGCUUCUGACUGCCAUGUCAUUUUCUGAGAGGUAAUGCCAACCCAACUAGAAACCCUUGAUGGCAUGCCUGUGCUUUUCACAAAGAGCUGCCCCCCAUCCCAAGAGGUAUGUGCCCUGCAGGCCUGUGGCUGGCCACCACAUGAGGAGCAGCAUGCCCAGCUCCUGGCACUGCUGGUGGCAGCGCUCUAGGCCGUCACCCCUCUAACUCUUCCUGCACCCAGGGAGCCUCUCUCACGCAUACCGAUCAACCACAGGCACGAGAUAACCAAAAAAGCAAAUAUUGCCCCAAUGAGGUCUUAAGUCAAUAUUUGAGCUGCUGCCUGGCCUGUUUGAUGACAGCCAGAGGUUGGAGGUCACCUACCUGUUGAUGGUGGCACUGGGAGUACAGGAGGCAGGGUCAGCAAUCAUCCAUGCUACUGUUCAACUAGGUUUGUUUGCUGAUCGAGUGUGUCAGCUACACAACUCAUUCCGGUCUCUUCUCUGGGAGCUUUCUACUGAUACAGAAAUAAGGGACGUAGAAAAACCCAGUUCUUCUUACCAACAGCUCCUAUAUUUAGUUCUUCUGAAAUGUCUUUUGCCCUUCUUGAAAACUUCUGGGAGAUAGCAGGGAUAAAUCCAGAGGGUUUGUCACUGAACCCAAAAGGUAGUAGGAUUUGGUGCUAAACACUACAGCUUGUGUCCACUACAUCGGAGA